rnacentral:lncRNA from 1 species
GUUAUUUGCUUCCAGAGAAUAGAAAUUUCUUCCAUGAUUCAGUGCAUAAUAUUUUGACUUGUCUUUCUUGCUAGUAGACUUUCAUGCUCUCACUCUCUCUCUCUCCCUCUCUCUCUGUCUCUCUCACUGGCAGAAGAAAUCUUAAAAGUUUGAGAAGAAAAUAUGGUAAAUAACUAAGAGAAAUCUCUGGUCAAUACUCAACAAGUCCUUCAGUCCAACAAUAUUCCAUACAUGAAAUCCUGCCAAAAACCAGACUCAGCACCAAACACACGAGAUGAAACAUAAGAUGCAUAAACACAACCCUUGCCUUUGAAGAAAAUUUGCACUAAUGGCAGAGAUGGGUGCUGUAUGAGUGAGCUGUGGCUGCCAUAGCAAGACAUCAUAGAUUGGAUGGCUUAAACAACAGAAAUUUAUUUUUUCACAGUUCUGGAGGCCAGAAAUCCCCAAUAAAGGUACUGACUGAUUAGGUGAGGGCUUUAUUUCUGCUGACAGACAACCACCUUCUUGUUGAGUUUUUAUACGGUCUUUUCUCUGUGGCUCAUAGAGAGAGACAGAGAGAGCUCUGGUGUUUUUUCCUCUUCUUAUU